UCCCUGGUGGCUCAGACGGUAAAGCGUCUGCCUGCAAUGCAGGAGACCCAGGUUUGAUCACUGGGUCGGGAA
rfam:TPA: Bos taurus chromosome 2, whole genome shotgun sequence.